AGCGAACGCUGGCGGCAGGCCUAACACAUGCAAUUCGAACGGAUCCUUCGGGAUUAGUGGCGGACGGGUGAGGAACACGUGGGAACGUGCCUUUUGGUUCGGAACAACUCAGGGAAACUUGAGCUAAUACCGGAUAAGCCCUUCGGGGGAAAGAUUUAUCGCCAUUAGAGCGGCCCGCGUCUGAUUAGCUAGUUGGUGAGGUAAAGGCUCGCCAACGCGACGAGCAGUAGCUGGUCGGAGAGGAUGAUCAGCCACACUGGGACUGGGACACGAGGCAGACUCCUACGGGAGGCGGCAGUGGGGAAUCUUGCGCACUGGGCGAAAGCCUGCCGCAGCCAUGCCGCGUGAAUGAUGAAGGUCUUAGGAUUGUAAAAUUCUUUCACCGGUGACGAUGAUGACGGUACCCGGGGAAGAAGCCCCGGCUAACUUCGUGCCAGCCGCCGCGGUAAUAC
rnacentral:rRNA from 1 species